GCGGGGGUGCCGGAGUGGUCAAACGGGCUGGACUCAAGAUCCAGUGUGCUUAGUGCCUACCUAGGUUCGAAUCCUAGUCCCCGCA
rfam:Candidatus Pacearchaeota archaeon CG1_02_32_132 cg_0.2_sub10_scaffold_63_c, whole genome shotgun sequence.